rnacentral:tRNA from 1 species
CAAGUUAAACCUUAGGGGUUAUAUUAUUUACAAUAAUAUAUUGAUUUGUGCAAUUCAGUCUGGCUUGA